CCUACGGGUGGCUGCAGUGGGGAAUAUUGGACAAUGGGCGAAAGCCUGAUCCAGCCAUGCCGCGUGUGUGAAGAAGGCCUUCGGGUUGUAAAGCACUUUCAGUGGGGAAGAAAGCCUUGGGGCUAAUACCCUCGAGGAAGGACAUCACCCACAGAAGAAGCACCGGCUAACUCCGUGCCAGCAGCCGCGGUAAUACGGAGGGUGCGAGCGUUAAUCGGAAUUACUGGGCGUAAAGCGCGCGUAGGCGGUCUGAUAAGCCGGUUGUGAAAGCCCCGGGCUCAACCUGGGAAUGGCAUCCGGAACUGUCAGGCUAGAGUGCAGGAGAGGAAGGUAGAAUUCCCGGUGUAGCGGUGAAAUGCGUAGAGAUCGGGAGGAAUACCAGUGGCGAAGGCGGCCUUCUGGACUGACACUGACGCUGAGGUGCGAAAGCGUGGGUAGCAAACAGGAUUAGAUACCCGUGUAGUC
rnacentral:rRNA from 1 species